rnacentral:lncRNA from 1 species
UGUAUACAUUUUUUGUACUCUAAGAAAGAGAGACUGUUUUAUGUUUUUGUAGGUAAACAAACAAAAGAGAAAAUUCUUGGCGUUUAUAAUACACUUUUGGUCGUUUUAAAAAUAUGGAUAAUUAAAAGAGCAUUGACGUAUCGCGUUCUUUAUUACUUUCAAGUUAUGUACUUUCCAUGAAGUAUGCUGUGUAUAGUAUGUGAUAUUAAUUGUACGUAGAUAUUUUUUAAAAACACAAAGCCACUGUCAAUGUUACAAUUAAUCACGAAUAAGUGAGUAUGGUUUUAAUACCAAAGAAUAAUAUUAAACUUAAGAAAUAACGAAUAAAAAUGCAACUGAUAACAUUUUUUUUUAAUUUUUCCAUCAUGAGCUAAUAUUAAAGCAAAAGCUACACAGACUGCCUCAGAGCUUUUCUAGCGUAUUAGUGACGUUUAAUUAUAACUUAAACUACUAAAAAUACAGAUUAUAAGUAUUUUAAUCCUGUGUCUCUAAACUAGACUGCUGUUUGAGUCAUUUUUUUCAUAAUGAUUAAUGGUCAAGAAAAUCGAAGAAACACUGAAAAGGUCAAAAAUAUCACGGCUGUGUUUAUUUUUACUCGAUUACAAUGUCUGAAAGAAAUAGCCUUUAAAGUAAUAUUCAAGCGUUUACAAUUAUCAUAUACACGCAAGAAUACCGCAGAAUGAGUAAAUUGUAAAUAAUCAUUGGUGAGCGAAUUUGUUUUACCAUAGACUUAUUUUACAGGCGAUGGUAUUUUCAAAUGCAUAUUUAUUAUGACCUUAUUAACCAAUUAACCAAUGUUGUGCACACUAACUUUCUCUUGAUGACUAAUAGCUUUAAUCAAUAUGAUACAGCAUUUCAAAUAGUAGUUACACCAUUAGCACACCUUAUCUAGGUUUUUUAUCAGAUCAUGUCUGCGAUAAGAGCUUUCAUGGUAUUCAAGCACCUUCUCACGCUUUAGAAAAUCUCUUCUUUCAACUUUUUCGAACACGGAUACCUGUGGAUUCAUCUGCAGUAUCUUUAGAACUGAGGACCUCAUCUGCUUGGACUUCCAUACCAAGAAUAUGAUGAUUGUUAUCGUUAAAUUUGCAUCGCAUACAGGCAACAAUGCUAGCCAUGGUCAACUUUCUCAUAUCCGUACGAAACAACAAUAUAUACGAUGUACUGGACGUCAACAACCAAGAAACCUGGGUGGUAUUAAAUGACAAGCGGGAUUCUAGUAUGCGUCUAGCAACGAUGCCAACUCCAAGUCUCUUUAACUGGGGCAUUACAGAAAGGUCUCACUGACAUGAAUGCACUCAUUUGAGUUACCUGACCCACGGCGUAUGCUGAAAUGAUCAACUUCGCCUUGGCCUCUAUGGAUUACGUCUGUAGUAACGGUUGUCAGCCACAACGUUCGAACGAUGGUACAUGCUACAAAGCUUUUACACUCUGGUCUUCUAUCUGCGUUGCAAGCUGAUGGUGUUCUACUAUUUUUUUGGUAUUUUUGGGAUCACGACAGUAAUGACGGCUGUACAGGUAAUUUUAUUUCGAAUAUGUUGUCAAUGGUAGGCGUAGAUUUGCCUUAGUCGUCAUUUGACCAUAACGCUCGUAAAAGGCGCACUAACAUCUAAAGAAUUUGAGCCAUGAUGUCGACUAGGAAAGUCAUUUAUACCUUUGUUUCUUUUAACUGGAGGAAAUUGCAGCGAAGGAGGAUAUCUUCAACCUUGUUCAAUUCAUAUGAGGUAUUUAAGCAACAAGACAUGCUGAAAAAGUCAACUUUGCCUUGAGAUCCAGCGAGGACUACUUCAAAACUAGAAUUUUUCAUCCAAGAAAAAGUGGCACUGCUGUGGAUAUACUGGGGUAUCUUGGUCAUUGGAUGGUGGUGAAAACACUGACCAAAUAGGUGUCUUCAUACGUGCAUCCUACAUCUAGAUCGAGAGGAAGUAUAACGGAUAUUCUUAAAUUAGCCGGUGAUGACGCAACGUCUAUAGUGAGGAUCUACAUCCAUGGCUUUCAAGCAACGGGGCAAGCUAAGAUGGACUUUCUAAUCUUCAUUUUUUUGGACAAUGCAACUUUCCUGGGCGUUGGUAACUAGGAAGUUUUAGCAAUAGUUAAUACUAGAUGAGCCUUUUUUAUCUUGGACUUGGCUGAAUAGUAAUGCUAAAAAUGGGCGUACUUACAUGGUUUCCUAGCGAUGGAUCAUACUGGAAAUACUGAAAGGGUGUCUUCUACUCUGAUUUUAAUCAACGAUAACAUUAGCACUGAGUGUAUAAAUCCAAGGAAUCUAAGCAACAGAAAAUUGAGCAAGUCUACUUUACUGUGGAAUAAGUCUACUUUAAUAUCUCAACCCAUUCAAAGUAA